UGGGGAAUAUUGGACAAUGGGCGAAAGCCUGAUCCAGCCAUGCCGCGUGUGUGAAGAAGGUCUUCGGAUUGUAAAGCACUUUAAGUUGGGAGGAAGGGCAUUAACCUAAUACGUUAGUGUUUUGACGUUACCGACAGAAUAAGCACCGGCUAACUCUGUGCCAGCAGCCGCGGUAAUACAGAGGGUGCAAGCGUUAAUCGGAAUUACUGGGCGUAAAGCGCGCGUAGGUGGUUUGUUAAGUUGGAUGUGAAAUCCCCGGGCUCAACCUGGGAACUGCAUUCAAAACUGACUGACUAGAGUAUGGUAGAGGGUGGUGGAAU
rnacentral:rRNA from 1 species